rnacentral:rRNA from 1 species
GUGUCAGCCGCCGCGGUAAUACGGAGGGUGCAAGCGUUAUCCGGAUUCACUGGGUUUAAAGGGAGCGCAGGCGGAUUUGUAAGUCAGUGGUGAAAGGCUUAAGCUUAACUUGGGAACUGCCAUUGAUACUAUAAGUCUUGAAUGUUGUUGAGGUUUGCGGAAUGGGUCAUGUAGCGGUGAAAUGCAUAGAUAUGACCCGGAACACCUAUUGCGAAGGCAGCAGGCUAAACAAAUAUUGACGCUGAGGCUCGAAAGCGUGGGGAUCAAACAGGAUUAGAAACCCCCGUAGUCC